rnacentral:rRNA from 1 species
AUUGAACGCUGGCGGCAGGCCUAACACAUGCAAGUCGAGCGGUAACAGAAAGUAGCUUGCUACUUUGCUGACGAGCGGCGGACGGGUGAGUAAUGCUUGGGAAUAUGCCUUAUGGUGGGGGACAACAGUUGGAAACGACUGCUAAUACCGCAUGAUGUCUACGGACCAAAGUGGGGGACCUUCGGGCCUCACGCCAUAAGAUUAGCCCAAGUGGGAUUAGCUAGUUGGUGAGGUAAUGGCUCACCAAGGCGACGAUCCCUAGCUGGUUUGAGAGGAUGAUCAGCCACACUGGGACUGAGACACGGCCCAGACUCCUACGGGAGGCAGCAGUGGGGAAUAUUGCACAAUGGGCGCAAGCCUGAUGCAGCCAUGCCGCGUGUGUGAAGAAGGCCUUCGGGUUGUAAAGCACUUUCAGUAAGGAGGAAAGGUUAAGUGUUAAUAGCGCUUAGCUGUGACGUUACUUACAGAAGAAGCACCGGCUAACUCCGUGCCAGCAGCCGCGGUAAUACGGAGGGUGCGAGCGUUAAUCGGAAUUACUGGGCGUAAAGCGUACGCAGGCGGUUUGUUAAGCGAGAUGUGAAAGCCCCGGGCUCAACCUGGGAACUGCAUUUCGAACUGGCAAACUAGAGUGUGAUAGAGGGUGGUAGAAUUUCAGGUGUAGCGGUGAAAUGCGUAGAGAUCUGAAGGAAUACCGAUGGCGAAGGCAGCCACCUGGGUCAACACUGACGCUCAUGUACGAAAGCGUGGGGAGCAAACAGG